GCAAGCCGAGCGGUAGAAGUCCUUCGGGACUUUGAGAGCGGCGUACGGGUGCGUAACACGUGUGCAACCUACCUUUAUCAGGGGAAUAGCCUUUCGAAAGGAAGAUUAAUACCCCAUAAUAUAUUGAAUGGCAUCAUUUGAUAUUGAAAACUCCGGUGGAUAGAGAUGGGCACGCGCAAGAUUAGAUAGUUGGUGAGGUAACGGCUCACCAAGUCAAUGAUCUUUAGGGGUCCUGAGAGGGAGAUCCCCCACACUGGUACUGAGACACGGACCAGACUCCUACGGGAGGCAGCAGUGAGGAAUAUUGGACAAUGGGUGAGAGCCUGAUCCAGCCAUCCCGCGUGAAGGAUGACGGUCCUAUGGAUUGUAAACUUCUUUUGUAUAGGAAUAAACCUACUCUCGUGAGAGUAGCUGAAGGUACUAUACGAAUAAGCACCGGCUAACUCCGUGCCAGCAGCCGCGGUAAUACGGAGGGUGCAAGCGUUAUCCGGAUUUAUUGGGUUUAAAGGGUCCGUAGGCGGACCGAUAAGUCAGUGGUGAAAUCUCAUAGCUUAACUAUGAAACUGCCGUUGAUACUGUCGGUCUUGAGUAAAUUUGAAGUGGCUGGAAUAAGUAGUGUAGCGGUGAAAUGCAUAGAUAUUACUUAGAACACCAAUUGCGAAGGCAGGUCACUAAGAUUUAACUGACGCUGAGGGACGAAAGCGUGGGGAGCGA
rnacentral:rRNA from 1 species